GGUCAAGUGAAUAAGUGCAUACGACGGAUGCCUUGGCAGUAGAAGGCGAUGAAGGACGUGAUAAUCUGCGAUAAGCUUCGGUUAGCUGAUAAUAAGCUUUAACCCGGAGAUCUCCGAAUGGGAAAACCCAGUGAUCAUAAGAUCAUUAUCCUUAACUGAAUACAUAGGUUAAGGAAGCAAACCUAGGGAACUGAAACAUCUAAGUACCUAGAGGAAAAGAAAUCAACCGAGAUUCCCUUAGUAGCGGCGAGCGAACGGGGACCAGCCCUUAAGCAAUUUUGAGAUUAGUAGAAUGUUCUGGAAAGUUCAACGACACAGGGUGAUAGUCCCGUAUACGAAAAUCUUUUAAUUGUGAAAUCGAGUAAGGCGGCGCACGUGAAACGCUGUUUGAAUAUGGGGGGACCACCCUCCAAGGCUAAAUACUCUCUACUGACCGAUAGUGAACAAGUACCGUGAGGGAAAGGCGAAAAGAACCCCGGGAGGGGAGUGAAAUAGAACCUGAAAUCGUAUGCAUACAAGCAGUGGGAGCAGACUUGUUCUGUGACUGCGUACCUUUUGUAUAAUGGGUCAGCGACUUACUUCUCAGUAGCAAGGUUAACCAUUAGGGGAGCCGUAGGGAAACCGAGUCUUAAAUGGGCGUUUAGUUGCUGGGAGUAGACCCGAAACCGGGUGAUCUAUCCAUGGUCAGUGUGAAGGUCAGGUAAAACUGACUGGAGGCGCGAACCCACUUAUGUUGAAAAAUGAGGGGAUGAACUGUGGAUAGGGGUGAAAGGCCAAACAAACCCGGAGAUAGCUGGUUCUCUCCGAAAUCUAUUUAGGUAGAGCGUCGCGUAUUACUUCUGGGGGUAGAGCACUGUUAUGGCUAGCGGGUCGUCAAGGCU
rnacentral:rRNA from 1 species